GGUGUGGGGAGCGUCCCCCCUCCGUCCCGGUCCAGCGCCGAAUCGCCCCCCAUUUCCCCCCACCGGCAUCGUCCCAAACGUCUACACCCCGACGUUGAAGACGCUCCACAAAACCAUACCGUUCCCUCUCUUUUCCCUACUUUAGGGUUUAAUACGUACACUUGUUUCCUUCACCGGUGCUCUUCCCCACUCUAUGGUUUGCUUGCACUCCACAAUUUCUCUCCGAUGGCGGCAGAGAAGCUUAGGGAUUUAAGUCAACCGAUUGAUGUUGCUCUGCUUGAUGCCACCGUUGCUGCCUUCUAUGGCACCGGAUCUAAAGAUGAGAGGACUGCUGCUGAUAUAUUGUGGGAGUUACAAAACAAUCCUUGAUAUGUGGCUACAAGUGGUUCAUAUUCUGUCCAAUACACAGAGCUUAAACACCAAGUUUUUUUGCUUUACAGCUGCAUGGCAGAUAGAAUUUACUAGUUUUCUAUCUUACAGGAGGGUGUUAUCAAAUAUAGAUGGAAUGUAUUGCCUGUUGAGCAACGGGACGGAAUGAAAAACUACAUAUCUGAUGUUAUUGUGAAGCUUUCGAGUAACGAGGUUUCUUUUCGGAAAGAAAGGUUGUAUGUUAACAAAGUUAACAUAAUACUAGUUCAGUGACAAGCAAAGGUGAAGUAACGCGUGGCGGAAGAAAGGGUACGCGUGGCAGGAGAAAAGGUACGUGUGGCCGGAGAAAAGGUUCGGGUGACGGAAGAAAAGGUUCGGGUGGGCAAAGAAAAAAAUGAACUAAAAGAAUGGGACAUAAUGACGACCGAUGUUGAAAGUUAUCCCGAACAAAAACACGUUACUUGAAGCUUCAUUUAUUUAAUUUAGAGGUAUUUACAGAAUGGUCCUUCUAUUUCACCACCAAACAUUUAUCGGUACAAAGUUUUUUUUUUAAAUGUUAUGUUUCUUUUUAAAGUUUAUGU